CCUACGGGAGGCAGCAGUGAGGAAUAUUGGUCAAUGGACGAGAGUCUGAACCAGCCAAGUAGCGUGAAGGAUGACUGCCCUAUGGGUUGUAAACUUCUUUUAUAAAGGAAUAAAACGAGGCACGUGUGCCUUUUUGCAUGUACUUUAUGAAUACGGAUCGGCUCACUCCGUGCCAGCAGCCGCGGUAAUACGGAGGAUCCGAGCGUUGUCCGGAUUUAUUGGGUUUAAAGGGAGCGUAGAUGGGUUGUUAAGUCAGUUGUGAAAGUUUGCGGCUCAACCGUAAAAUUGCAAUUGAUACUGGCAGUCUUGAGUACAGUUGAGGUAGGCGGAAUUCGAGGUGUAGCGGUGAAAUGCUUAGAUAUCACGAAGAACCCCGAUGGCGAAGGCAGCUUACUAAACUGUGACUGACAUUGAUGCGCGAAAGUGUGGGUAGCAAACAGGAUUAGAUACCCCAGUAGUC
rnacentral:rRNA from 1 species